UUUUUUUUCAGUAAUGGAUUUUAAUUUUUUUAUUUUUUAUUAGGAAAUUGUGUAUCUUAAGAUUUCUUUGAUGGAAAGGGGAGAAAUGAAGUCGGUAAAGACGUCGGCGAUAACAUCUUCGUCUUCGGAAUUUGGUCAAAAGAAAUUAGCUCGACAAUUGGAUUUUACGGCGGUUCAGCGUUUUCCGGUUCAACACAAGUUGCGCAUACUGUAGCUGUGUCGCCACUCGCCAAUGGGGAUUCCACGUCUCCACCAGUUGAUUAUUCAGAGAUGUUGCACUUCUUAUGGUUGACUUUGUAGACAAAUUCGUGAUCAAGGGUUUCGAGAUUAGUUACUUGAACAUUGGAGGAGGUUUGGGAAUACACUACUAUCACAGUGGCGCUGUUUUACCCACACCUAGAGAUCUUAUUGAUACGGUGGGGUUUCAGAUGAUUUUGAUGCUUGAUAGGAACAACCUAUGUGAUCAAGGUAGCUAAAAGGAGUGAUUUGUCUCCAGAAUCUACUACUGUAAAUAUAGCUAUAAUCCAUCAUAUUCUCGAAACUGGUAUGAAAAGGAGUAAAUUUGUGUUUUGGUCGACUACUGGUGCUGUAGCAGGUGCAAUAGCGAUUUCAGAAGUGAUGCCAAGUCAAUACAAACACAUGUUGGGAGGUCCUUCAAUGAAGGUUGACUUGCAUACAACAGCCACGACAAAAGGGGUGUUGACUUUUCUUAUAACCUUUGUUGUCCUGUUCACUUAAACUUUUUCCAGUUGCAUAGCCUACAAUCUAUAUUCUUAUUUCAAAACUUCAAUAAUUAGGCAAUUUUUAUUACUAUAUUAGCAUGCGAAAACACCAUCAUCAGCAGUGGCUUUUUAAAAAUUAAUCUAACUUAUAGUUUAUCAUGUUUAAGUGCAACUGCGCAAGUCUUUUUUUCAUAUCAGAAUAUAUAGGUACCUUUGAAGGUCCUUGAUCAACUCCACCAUGCAUUUUGUUCUAUCUUCGCGAAAGAAAGAUCUGGAGGUCUAUGAUUUUUGAGUAAGAAUUAAACGGUCAGUAUUUAUUAACUCAUCUCGUGAGACUUGACAUAGCUCAGGAAGGAGGUGCUUACACCCCUAGCACCAGGAAUGAUCGAGGAGAUUGAGACCCGCCUCAAGUUCCUGCCCCUAUCUAUAGCUAUGAGACAGUGAUGAUUCUGUGGCUGGCUCUGUGCUCAUCCAUGAUAUGCUGUUGCUGUUAUUCUGAUCUUGAAUCAGAUGCCUCUCACAAGUUGUUGGCACUGUCUUGAUGUUAUACUGCUGAACUUAUGAGAUGCAGCAUAUGCUGAUGCUAAAUGCUCAAUUCUGAGGGCUAUGCUGCUGCAAGUUGAUGCAAGCUGCUGCUAUGCAGCCAAUUCGUAGACAGCCAAGCUUUUUUUUUGUCGGAUGAGAUUAGUUUUUGCUGCUGUAAUCUAGAGGCUGCACAGUCUCUCUAGGUCCCUCACAAUUGUGCUUUUCAACCUGCUUCCUGUCUGAAUGCACGAUACACGAGGCUACAUUCUACUAUUUGCUGCCUACAUUGGAUUUUUAUAAUCAUCCUACUGGUAUUGUGCAAGGGGCAAAGCUGCUGCCUUGUCUGAAUGCACGAUACACAAUGCUACAUUCUACUGUUUGCUGCCUACAUUGGAUUUUCAUAAUCAUCCUACUGGUAUUGUGUAGGGGGCAAAGCCGCUGCCUUUAGAAAUCACUCCUACAUUGUACUGAUAGCUCCGUUAUCUGUAGGUCCUCUUUGAUUGGUUUUAGAACCCAUGUAAAUUGCCAAGCAUUUGUUGAACUCUGGUAAUGCCUAUCUUAUUGUAUUUGCAAGGUAUGAUUGGUUUCAUUUUCAA